rnacentral:tRNA from 1 species
GAAGAUAUAGCUCAGCAGUAGAGGGUACGCUUAGCACGUGUGAGGUCCAGGGUUCAAUCCCCGGUACCUCCA